GUUAGCAACUGGGGGCUAGCCAGCUGAUAGCUAAUAUGGCUCCUAUUAACCAGCAGCUAGCUGAUGUUAGGUAGCGUUAGCGACAAGAGGCUAACCAGCGAGCUGCUGAAACGGGGAUCUGGAUCGACCUAAACUAAACUAAGCUGCCAACUGCAACAGAAGACCUAGCGUUCUUGACCCAAACGGCCUCCGAUGGACGGACCCUCACAGCGAUGACCCGGGUAUUUAACACCAAUACCAUCGGUACAGCGCUGGAGGCCUUCGGCAGACCCGCUCUCACACAGCGGACUGGACCUGCCGCUGAGGCCGGGGCGGAGAACGAAACACGGACAUCGUAAAUACUUGGCUCCCCGCUCGUGACAACGAGAUGAAGGAGGAGCUGCAGCCGAAGAUUUGAACUCACCAACCGUUAAAAGCCGAACUAAGCCGAGAAAUGCCGAGGGGGGUAGACGGUUGGGACGGAGAUCAACGACUGACCAACGGGAAGAGCCGAAGCUGCGGAUGCGCCUCCUGCUGAUGGAAUGUCGUUAGUUCACCUCUAGGGGUCCCUGAUACAUCACCAAAGGAAAGAUGUGCUCUUUUCUUACCUAUACAUCUAUGACUGUAGCUGUCUCUUUAUUUGUAUCUAAUUAUGGAAGCGAAAGGCCCCAAGUCAAACGCUUCAUCUGGAAUAAUAAAAAAUAAAGGAUAAAUUAAUGGGCACUGUUGAAGCCUAGCACACUGUCAAGCUUUAACGGGCCCUGUUAAAGCUCAGCACACUUUUAAGACCUGUGUAGGAUGUAGUUUUCUUCUUUAUUUGAGUUUAGUUUAUGCAAAUACCAGACCUUGAGUUUGUCUAUGGAGCCCAAUGUGCCCAACCCCCCAACCCUCCCAGUGAAUCAGUUAAAUGUAUGCUGCGGUAUAUUUCUAUUAAACAUUGCAUAAAUUUGCCACAA